rnacentral:rRNA from 1 species
UACGUGAAACCGUUCAGGGGUAAACCUAAGAAACCCAAAAGAUCGAACGGGGAGAUUCAUCGUCAGCGACGCUGGCUUCGCGUCGGUGGGCGAUGUCCCGCGGGGCCUCGCGGCUCGCGCGCGGGCACGCUGCCGUGCGUCGAUGUCCGGCGUUCGUCGUCGUGCACUUCUCCCCUAGUAGAACGUCGCGACCCGCUGGGUGUCGGUCUACGGCCCGGGUGCGGUGACUGACGCGUCGCCGGUAAAACGGCACGCGUCAAACCCCCGGUCGCCCGGCCGGCUGCCCGGCGGUACACGCAAGGUAUCAGGCCGCACAUCGUGCAGAGAAAUCUCACAGAGUUGUGCGUCGAGGCCGUCGCAAGCGCGCGCCACGGUACACGGAGGCUAACGGACCUAGCGCCGUCACCGGUCCUGGCCCGCUGUUGGUCGUACGGUUAACCUUCGACAGGCCUGCUCACGUUCCCCGGGUCUCUCUUGCGGGAGGACCGGGGGACCGAUACCGGUCGGCGACGCUACUGCUUUGGGUACUCUUAGGACCCGUCUUGAAACACGGACCAAGGAGUCUAACAUGUACGCGAGUCAUUGGGACUUAGCGAUACCUAAAGGCGUAAUGAAAGUGAAGGUCGUCCCUGGUUGUCGACCGAGGGAGGAUGGGCCGCGUCGCGCAUGCGGCUCCGCACUCCCGGGGCGUCUCGUUCUCAUCGCGAGAAGAGGCGCACCCAGAGCGUACACGUUGGGACCCGAAAGAUGGUGAACUAUGCCUGGUCAGGACGAUAGUCAGGGGAAACCCUGAUGGAGGUCCGUAGCGAUUCUGACGUGCAAAUCGAUCGUCGGAACUGGGUAUAGGGGCGAAAGACUAAUCGAACCAUC